rnacentral:lncRNA from 1 species
UUUUGCAUUUAUGAAGUCAAUUCAUUUACCAGCAACACUGAUGGUUCCAAGGAACACGUUUUGGGAAACUGCCCUACAGCAAUGCUGACAGUAAGAACCAAGCAGAAGAAACAGCCCCACAGCUUGAACUGGAAUUCUCUCUGCCCAGCUCUGAAGUGGGCAAGCUUAACCUCUAUAAACCUCAGUUUCCUUUUCUGCAAGUCCAGGGAAGACCUAGAUGGUCUUUUCCAGCUAUAAAAUUUCCAGUGUGAUCCAAAGUCACACUGAGGGUUCAGUGACAGAGCUGGGACUUGAGCCUAAGUUUCUGACUUUUAAAGCAAUCAGUCCUUACAGAACUACAGCAAACCACCUCUAAUGAAAAAGAAUUUGUGGUAUCAUUCUAACCUGGCUCCUGGAUGCUUUAAACCUGUGA